GACGAACGCUGGCGGCGUGCCUAAUACAUGCAAGUAGAACGCUGAAGAGAGGGGCUUGCUCUUCUUGGAUGAGUUGCGAACGGGUGAGUAACGCGUAGGUAACCUGCCUUGUAGCGGGGGAUAACUAUUGGAAACGAUAGCUAAUACCGCAUAACAAUGGAUGACACAUGUCAUUUAUUUGAAAGGGGCAAUUGCUCCACUACAAGAUGGACCUGCGUUGUAUUAGCUAGUAGGUGAGGUAAUGGCUCACCUAGGCGACGAUACAUAGCCGACCUGAGAGGGUGAUCGGCCACACUGGGACUGAGACACGGCCCAGACUCCUACGGGAGGCAGCAGUAGGGAAUCUUCGGCAAUGGGGGCAACCCUGACCGAGCAACGCCGCGUGAGUGAAGAAGGUUUUCGGAUCGUAAAGCUCUGUUGUAAGUCAAGAGCGGGUGUGAGAGUGGAAAGUUCACACUGUGACGGUAGCUUACCAGAAAGGGACGGCUAACUACGUG
rnacentral:rRNA from 1 species